rnacentral:rRNA from 1 species
GAUGAACGCUGGCGGCGUGCCUAAUACAUGCAAGUCGAGCGAACAGACGAGGAGCUUGCUCCUCUGACGUUAGCGGCAGACGGGUGAGUAACACGUGGAUAACCUACCUAUAAGACUGGGAUAACUUCGGGAAACCGGAGCUAAUACCGGAUAAUAUAUUGAACCGCAUGGUUCAAUAGUGAAAGACGGUUUUGAUGUCACUUAUAGAUGGAUCCGCGCCGCAUUAGCUAGUUGGUAAGGUAACGGCUUACCAAGGCAACGAUGCGUAGCCGACCUGAGAGGGUGAUCGGCCACACUGGAACUGAGACACGGUCCAGACUCCUACGGGAGGCAGCAGUAGGGAAUCUUCCGCAAUGGGCGAAAGCUUGACGGAGCAACGCCGCGUGAGUGAUGAAGGUCUUCGGAUCGUAAAACUCUGUUAUUAGGGAAGAACAAAUGUGUAAGUAACUAUGCACGUCUUGACGGUACCUAAUCAGAAAGCCACGGCUAACUACGUG